CCAUGCUGCUACCACAUGCUGGGCCCCUUCUUGGGCUCUACUCUUCUCUUCCCUUGUUUUGAAGGCCCCCUGGGAUUUCCUGCAAUGGACUCCGCAGAGGGACAGCCAUUAGAGUAUGCUCCCGCCUAUCCUCUCUGUGAUCUGGAUGUCCACCGAGUGGUUUGCUGUGUGGUGCCCUGUCUCAUCUUGGCUUGGUGACCAAAGCGCAGUUCACGUCAUCUCCAGUGGUGUCACACAUAUCUACAAACCUUUUGCCUGUAGGACAGACACACCUAGUACCAUAGACACUCCCAGCUCCUCUGGGGCCCCCAGUAUCCUGUGCCCCGACACAGUGCAUCGUCCUCACUUGACACUUGGCUACCAAGGUGCCCCAAGAUUGACUCGAGCUUCCCACCUACCCAAGCUCCUCUGUGGCCCAGCUGCUCAUGCCCCCUUCUCUGCUCCUGCUCCCCUCGCCCCAUGCUCUCCUCCUCUGCUCUUUCUCAUUGUCCCCCUGCCCGCAUCAGACCUUCUCCUCCUGGAAGAUGCAGCACAGACCUGCAGUUGCUGGGGGCCUGGCAGGAGGCAGAUGAUGGGGAACAGGGAGAGAGAGACAAGAUGUUGCCGCAUGCUGGGCCUACUAACAGUGGAGCUGCUCCUGCCUCUGAGCCUGAAGGGCCAAUGGGAAGUGCUUGCCAGAACCACAGGGAGCCAUGGCCAUGACCGAGGGCUGCCUGUAGGAGCCAGGGCUGUCACUAGCAGAACUGGUCAUCGCUCACCCUCAUCCUGCCAGAGAGGAAGGCAGAAAUAGUUCCUCUCACCCUCCAUCCCCUGAUGCUGCUGACCUUGGCCAAAGCCAGUGUGAAGGUGGAAGACAAUGAGUCGCCUGCCCGUGCAGCUCAGAGACCAGAGGAGAACGCAGGAAGAAGGAGCCUGGACUGGGGGAGGGAGGGCGGCUUUCUGUCUCAUGGGAGCCCAGUGAGGCAGCUCUGCCUCUGAAGCCCUGGAACACUUCCGUUUGAUGGCAACUUGACCUUGAGUGGUUGUAACGCCUGUUAGUGCUGUGCUGUCAGGUUAUUGUUCCUUUGUAUUUUCAGUUUGGAUUGCACCUCCUCCUUACUAUUAGUUCAAGGAAGCAAGAAAGGAUCUUAACUUACUCUCUUUGUAUUUCUCCUUUGGAAACAACUGGACAUGCGGAGCAUCUUGGUUGCAUCUGUUUUGAACACUGUACCAACCCUCCACAGCAUCAGGACCUGGACUGGGGUUGUUGGUAGAUUUCGGGGAGUGUGGGCUGCAUGCUGAUUUAGGGGUGAAGAUGCUGAGCAUUCUAGGCUUGGCUUGUGGAGUUUCCAUCAGAUGCAAGGAGAAGCGGGAGCCGAAGGCUGUCCUGUGGACACUCACUGGCAGACAGGAGUGUCAGUGACCUGUAGGGACGGAGCCAGGGACCAAAAUGGGAUGUGAGAUAUGAGGGCAGGACCAGAAGUCCUGAGCAAGUGAGUCUCUUCAGGGAGACACAGGAAGGGCAGGGGAGGGAUGUGGGUUCCAGGUUAAAGAGGGCACCUGCUCUGGGCCAGACCUGCACUGUCUAGUACGGUCUCCCCUGGCUACUCACACUUAAAUUCACAAAAAUAAAGUCAAACUAGAAAUUUUUAAUUCUUGUUACAGAAGCCACAUUCCAAGUGGUGCAGAGUGGUGGCCAGUGCCGAUUAGAGUGUUUCAACCACAGCAGAACCUUCCCCUGCUCCAGAACAUCUGAGAAAAUUUAGGGUCCCAGGGAUGCUAAAAUAAAUACCCAUUUGAGCAAAUUUUUAAUCUGUGUAGAUAUCAGAUGUACUUACCUCCAAAUCUGCACUUUGCCAGUGAAUAAUUUUGUGAGGAGUACCCAAACCUCAGUUUUCUGUUAGAAAAUGACGAUAAUAAGAGCAUAACCGGGUGUGAUGGUGCACACCUAUAAUCCCUGCGCUCAGGAGGGUGAGGCAGAAGAAUAUGAGUUUGAGGCCAGCCUGAGCUACCCAGUGAAUUCAAGACCAACAUAAACUAUGUAGUGAAACCCUGUCUUAAAAAACAAACAAAACCCAGACAAACCAGAGGAUAACAAUCUUCAGGAGGUAGAAGUGACUCGCAUGACCAAGAGACACAGCAGGAGCCCUUGAUUAAGUGUCAGCUCCCAUCCCUUGCAACAGCAAGGCUAUUAACCAGCAUUGAUUGAGUGCUUGUGCUGCUGGCCCUACCUGAACUUCUGCAAUUCUCACAAUAACUCUGCAAAAAGAUAGUAUCACUGUUUCCACUUUGCAGAUGACAAAUGGCCUCAGCAAGACUGACACGGUCACUCAAGGUCACACAGUGUAGGAGCCAAGUUCCUUUAUAUAUGAUUAAAAAUGGUCACGCGAUAUUCUCUCAUUUCCUAUCUCAUCUUCCCACAUCAGCUGUUAAGAGCAUUGCCCGAGGCUUCAUUUGAGUCGUGCAGUGUGACUGGCAUAGGUCUGAACCGAUGCUUGCUAAUUGGUC
rnacentral:lncRNA from 1 species